GGUCAAAAGCCCCCGUUUCCUUUAUUUCCCCCCUCCCCCCGGGGUUGGAGGGGCCGGAGUAGAGAGCGCCCAGUUCGGGAGGUGGAUGAAUGUGGGAGAAAAUGGAGACCAGGACGAUCGUGUAUGACUUGGACACAUUGGGGUGGAGGGGAGAGCUGAUGGAGCAAAUCCAAGCUCUGCUGGCUCCCCCCGAGAUGGGCGAGGCAGAGAAGCACAGUCGGAAGCCCAAGAAGGAGCCCCGGAGAAGAGGCAGGGCCACCAAUCACGACAGCUGCAAUAGCUGCAAGGAAGGUGGAGAUCUCCUGUGCUGUGACCACUGCCUGACUGACUUCCAUCUCCAGUGUUGUAUCCCUCCACUGAGUGAAUAGAUGUUGCCUCCUGGGGAGUGGAUGUGUCACCGGCGUACUGUUCGCCAACAGAAACGAGAGCAGAAAAAGGAGCUGGGUCAUGUCAAUGGACUGGUGGACAAAUCUGGCAAACGGACUACAUCCCCCAGCAGUGACACUGACUUGUUGGACAGAUCAGCUAGCAAAACUGAACUCAAGGCCAUUGCCCAUGCCCGGAUCCUAGAAAGGAGAGCCAGCCGGCCUGGCACCCCCACAUCCAAUGCCAGCACAGAGACCCCCACCUCUGAGCAGAAUGACGUCGAUGAGGACAUCAUUGACGUGGAUGAGAAGCCAGUUGCAUCAGAGCCGGACUAUGUGCAGCCCCAGCUGAGGUGGCCCUUUGAUCUGCUGAUUGCUGCUGCCAUGGAGCAGAACCCCACCCAAUUUCAGUUGCCCAAUGAACUGACUUGUACAACUGCACUACCAAGUUCUAGCAAGAGGAGAAGAAAGAAGGAGACCACAGGGAAAAACGUUAAGAAGACACAGCAUGAGUUAGAUCACAAUGGUCUUGUUCCCUUACCGGUCAAAGUCUGCUUCACAUGUAACAGGAGUUGCCACGUGGCCCCACUUAUCCAGUGUGACUAUUGCCCACUCCUGUUUCACAUGGACUGCCUUGAGCCACCACUCACUGCCAUGCCCCUGGGCAGAUGGAUGGUGUCCAAAUCACAUUGAACAUGUGGUGCUGAACCAGAAGAAUAUGACACUGAGCAAUCGGUGCCAGGUGUUUGAUAGUUUCCAGGACACCAUUUCACAGCAUGUCUCAAAGUGGACUUCCUGAACCGAAUCCACAAGAAGCACCCUCCUAACCGCCAUGUGCUCCAGUCAGUCAAAAGAAGAAUCUUGAAGGUUCCUGAUGCCCCCUCUAAUUGCACCCGUGGCCAUUCGGGAUGGGGAGCUGAUCUGCAAUGGGAUCCCUGAGGAAUCACAGGCACACCUUUUGAAUUCUGAGCACUUAUCCACCCAGGCAUAGCAACAAGAGUGGCUCUGUAAUGUUGUUAUGCUCCAGUGCAGCACAUUGAAACAUUUAUCUGCUAAGCAGAUACCUUCGCAUUGGGACUCUGAACAGACAGAGAAGGCUGACAUUAAGCCUGUUAUUGUGACUGACAGCUCAAUCACCACUUCCCUGCAAACAGCUGACAAGGCACCUACACCUUCCCACUACCCCUUGUCCUGUCCUUCAGGGAUUAGCACCUAGAAUUCCCUGAGCUGCUUUCCACCUCACCAGCCCCCAGCCAUCGAGGACAUCAGCAGCAGUUCUUGUGUAGAAAAAUCCAAGAGAGCUCCUUGUGGGACUGCCAAUGGGCCAGUGAACACAGAGGUGAAAGCCAAUGGCCCACACCUAUACAGCAGCCCCACUGAUUCCACGGACCCCUGGCGACUUCCAGGCGCCAAUACCCCCCUACCAGGCCUUUCACACCGGCAAGGCUGGCCCUGGCCCCUCACACCACCAGCAGCUGGGGGCCUUCAGAACCACACCAUUGGCAUCAUUGUGAAGAUGGAGAAUGCCACUGGUCCCAGCUCUUGCCCCCAAAGGGCAAAGGCCUGUCCCAAGCCUGACCCCUUCCAUUCCCAGCUCUUGUGCCAGCAUUGAGAACACCAGCACUUUGCAAAGAAAGACUGUCCAAUCACAGAUAGGACCUCCGUUGACAGAUUCAAGGCCUCUGGGUUCAUCCCCAAAUGGCACCCGAGUGCUCACUCCCCCCCAAGCAGCAGGAGAUGGAAUCUUGGCCACAGGAGCCAACCAACAAUUCUGCUCACCAGCGCCAUCAUCAGAUGGCAAGGUCAGCCCUGGCAAGUUAUCCAUAGGAAGCACUUUAACCAUACCCUCUUUCCCAGCCAACUCUACUGCCAUGGUGGACCUCACCAACUCACUUUGAGCAUUUAUGGAUGUCAAUGGAGAAAUUGAGAUAAAUAUGCUGGAUGAGAAGCUGAUCAAGUUUCUGGCCUUGAAGAGAAUACAUCAGCUUUUCCCCUCCCGGGUCCAAACUUCACUGGGUAGUGUUGGGACACAUCCACCGGCUUCCAGAGGGCACCACACAGAAGUGCAAAGGAAGCAGGUACAGGCCCGAGCUGUGUUCUACCCCCUCUUAGGGUUGGGAGGAGCUGUGAACAUGUGCUAUAGAACCCUCUACAUCGGGACAGGAGCUGACAUGGAUGUGUGCCUUACAAACUAUGGUCACUGUAACUACGUGUCGGGGAAACAUGCCUGCAUAUUCUUUGAUGAGAAUACCAAACAUUAUGAGCUGUUAAACUACAGUGAGCAUGGAACAACGGUGGACAAUGUCUGUAUUCAUGUGACUUCUCUGAGAAGACCCCACCAACUGCCCCAAGCAGUAUUGUUGCCAAAGUGCAGAGUGUCAUCAGGCAUUGCCGGCACCAGAAACAAGAUGAAGAGCCAAGUGAGGAGGCAGUCAUGAUGAGUUCCCAGGCCUAGGGGUCCCAGCGGAGACACUGCAAUUGCAAAGCCAGCAGCUCAAGCUUGGUUGGGGGCAGUGGGGCCGCCUGGGAGGGUACGGCCUUACUACACCAUGGCAGCUACAUCAAGCUGGGCUGCCUGCAGUUUGUCUUCAGCAUCACUGAGUUUGUGACCAAACAGCCCAAAGGCGAUGUCAGUCUGCUGCAGAAUGGGGUACAGGGUGAGAAGCUGGCUCUCAAGCCCCACCAGGGCCUUGUGCUGUGCUCCAACUCUGUUCCCUAGGGCUGGUGGCUACCCUGCUGCCUACCUAGACACUCUCCCCAAGACUCCUGCAAUGUAAAAAUGUACACAAACCAAGUCUGGGUGUUUUCUAUACCAGAAACCCUUCAACUACAAUCUUUGCAAGAAAUGAAGAAAA